rnacentral:rRNA from 1 species
GAUGAACGCUGGCGGCGUGCCUAAUACAUGCAAGUCGAGCGAACAGACGAGGAGCUUGCUCCUCUGACGUUAGCGGCGGACGGGUGAGUAACACGUGGAUAACCUACCUAUAAGACUAGGAUAACUUCGGGAAACCGGAGCUAAUACCGGAUAACAUGUUGAACCGCAUGGUUCAACAGUAAAAGACGGUCUUGCUGUCACUUAUAGAUGGAUCCGCGCCGCAUUAGCUAGUUGGUAAGGUAACGGCUUACCAAGGCAACGAUGCGUAGCCGACCUGAGAGGGUGAUCGGCCACACUGGAACUGAGACACGGUCCAGACUCCUACGGGAGGCAGCAGUAGGGAAUCUUCCGCAAAGGGCGAAAGCCUGACGGAGCAACGCCGCGUGAGUGAAGAAGGUCUUCGGAUCGUAAAACUCUGUUAUUAGGGAAGAACAAAUGUGUAAGUAACUAUGCACGUCUUGACGGUACCUAAUCAGAAAGCCACGGCUAACUACGUG